UUUAAGGUCUAACCUGCCCAAUGAGGAUUUAAAUGGCCGCAGUAUUUUGACUGUGCAAAGGUAGCAUAAUUAUUAGUUUUUUAAUUGAAAGCUUGUAUGAAGGGUUGGACGAGAUAAAAUCUGUCUUUAUUUAAAUUAGAAUAUAACUUAACUUUUAAGUCAAAAGGCUUAAAUUUUUAUAAAAGACGAGAAGACCCUAUAGAUCUUUAUUUAUUUAAGAUUUUAAUAAUUUAGGAUUAUUUUAAUUUGAAGUUUUAAAUAAAUUUUAUUGGGGUAAUAUAAAGAUUAAAUAAAUUCUUUUUAUUUAUUACAUUGAUUUAUGAAUAUAUGAUCCAUUAAUGUUGAUUAUAAGAUUAAGUUACCUUAGGGAUAACAGCGUAAUUUUUUUGGAGAGCCCAUAUCGAUAAGAAAGUUUGCGACCUCGAUGUUGGAUUAAAAAUUAGCUUGGGUGCAGAAGCUCAAGAUUUUGGUCUGUUCGACCAUUAAAUUUUUACAUGAUCUGAGUUCAGACCGGCGUAAGCCAGGUCGGUUUCUAUCUUUAUUUAAAUAAAAUGUUUUAGUACGAAAGGACCAAAUAUUUAAUAUAGUUAUAUUUAUUUUUUGAAGAAUAUU
rnacentral:rRNA from 1 species